GAAACGGCGCCGAAGAUGACUCGUCGCCGCUUCACCACCAAGCUGCCGCUGAGUCACGUGAUCAACGACAGCAGCAGCACGUCUACUAGCACGCGGACCGUCGGCGCCGACGGCACCGUGACGACGAGGUCGAGCUCGAAAUCGACGAGGCGGUACGGCGCGACGUCGAACGCCGUCAACGGCGACUGGUAAAGUAUGAAGACGUCACAGAUAAGAAAAGCACGAAACGAGUAGCUAACAAUGUGCAUCCCAUUGUUGUGACAUCUUCGUGUGUGUGACGUGACAUGGAGAGACAUCUUGCUUCUACCGUCACGAGUAGUCACCAACAAACGAACGCUCGGCGCGAAACGUUUAGAGCAAUAUAAAAUCUAUUUUAUGUUAUUAACGUUAUUUGUGGUGUAAAUCUCUGAGUUGUCGCGCACGCGUUGCGUGGACGCGAUGCUAGACAAUAUGAGUCUGUAACACGCCUUGCCGUUUGUCAGAAUUCUAUCGAGUGGUUGAGUCGUUCCCCUGAUUAAAGCCAGACGGUUAUUAGAUUUGAUUGUACAGGUUGUCGUAUUUAUUUUGUGGGAGUGUGAGCGCACUGGCACGAGACUUGCUUUCCCCUCUGUCUGCUGAACAACGUAAUCGACAUCAUGUAGUUGAGGGCAUCAGCAGCCAUUGUGGUUUGCGAGCCGUGGCAGUGGAAGCUCCUUCUGUGUUUUCUUCGCUACUUGUUUUGCUGAUUCAAUGUACAGGCUGUUUAUAGCGGUUAGUAGUACACUGUGGUCCGUGGUCAGAAACGUCAGAAAUAGUUCUGGCUAUCUUAAGUCUAAAAUGUCACAACUUUUGCGCGUCAAUUCACUGCAAGAGUUUUAAGCAUUUUAAAAAGACAUUUUUUGCUUUACGGUGUCAUAAUCACUUGUGCUGUUUCUGACUACCAACGGGCAUUCGGUCAUUCUGGUAAUAUGCACGAGACAAUGCUGAGUGGAUGCUGUAAUAGAGAUAAAUAACUUAACAUCAACUUGAGGGCUUCAGCAAACAUUCAGUGUUGCCUUGUGCGCGCGGGUGACCGUGGGUUUCUAUGAUUCUGCGAAUAUUCUCCGUAUAGCUGCAUGCCUUGCUUUACAUGUUGUUUUUUUUGGUGUACAGCUUACGCUCACGUAGGCAGAUAUCAUACUUUACAUGCUUAUCGUAGUGCUUGUCUCGCCUCUAGCAUCAUCUUCUGUGGGAUGAUGACCCGUUUCAAGCGUUGGAGGAAUUCAGCAGUAACCAGGGCUUUUGUUGUGUUGAUCGUGGCCUUUACUCGUAAGUAUGCGGCCCGAUCCAACUGGUCCGGUGCCGGCAAGCCUAAUCGGCGCUCUACGCUUGCAUCUACCAGGGCUGUCGGACUGUUUUGAUGUGUUUUAGGGAAAGAUAAAAAAAAUUAUAUAAAAUAAUAAUUAUACUAAUAGUAUUAUUAUUUCUAUGGUUUCCGCGUGGCGCAGGCUUGUAUAUAGAGGGAUGCCCUGCACGAAUCGCGGAACGAAUGAGGUUGUUCAGAACGGGAGCCGAGUUCCGCGAAGCAAUACUAGUCUAUAAACACUUGCGUACAUCGCGCGGCGCGGCACCUGAUCAAUUCGUAUAGAAAACCUCAACUCUAUAGCAUCGUCGUCGAUGCAAAGGGUUGCGAGUUGCGAGAAGUAGUUGAAACGAGUAACUGCAGAGGAUACAGCACACUGUAUAUAUUCUGUGAUGGCCGUUGGAACUCGGCUUUCGAGCUCAAGUCAAGCUGUGCAAUGUCUAUUAGAGUUACGACCGUCGUUUGUGCGUUGAUGAUUGAUAUCUAUUUGGCAAUAGGAACGAGUGUUCCUUGAUGACUAUUUAUUUUGAAGAGGGAUAUUAUGGGGAAUCACACCUUCAUAUUAUUAGUUCAAGAACGUAUGCUCCUAAAUAAAGGCCGUUGUUCAAUGUA